CCCAUCCCCACCGCGGAGCUGCUUCUUCCCAGCUUGUCCCAGGUGAACCAGCGGCUAGAAGAAAUGAGUUGGUCAAGGUUAGCCAGUUCCUUAAUACCGGCGGCCGUUGGCUAUGGGGCUCAGAAAGGCACAGCAAUGGUGAUCAACAAAUUAAGUAAGUGUGCUGUGUCAUGGUUUUAAAGCAGUAACUAAAAAAAUUACUUAUUUCUUGCUGUGAGAUAUGGAUUAGAACAAGAGCAAAACAGGCUUAAAACUUAAAAGGAAUAAAGAAAGUUUAUUAACAAAACUACA
rnacentral:lncRNA from 1 species